rnacentral:rRNA from 1 species
GACGAACGUUGGCGGCGUGCUUAACACAUGCAAGUCGAACGGAAAGGCCCUGCUUUUGUGGGGUGCUCGAGUGGCGAACGGGUGAGUAACACGUGAGUAACCUGCCCUUGACUUUGGGAUAACUUCAGGAAACUGGGGCUAAUACCGGAUAGGAGCUCCUGCUGCAUGGUGGGGGUUGGAAAGUUUCGGCGGUUGGGGAUGGACUCGCGGCUUAUCAGCUUGUUGGUGGGGUAGUGGCUUACCAAGGCUUUGACGGGUAGCCGGCCUGAGAGGGUGAGCGGCCACAUUGGGACUGAGAUACGGCCCAGACUCCUACGGGAGGCAGCAGUGGGGGAUAUUGCACAAUGGGCGGAAGCCUGAUGCAGCAACGCCGCGUGCGGGAUGACGGCCUUCGGGUUGUAAACCGCUUUCGCCUGUGACGAAGCGUGAGUGACGGUAAUGGGUAAAGAAGCACCGGCUAACUACGUGCCAGCAGCCGCGGUGAUACGUAGGGUGCGAGCGUUGUCCGGAUUUAUUGGGCGUAAAGGGCUCGUAGGUGGUUGAUCGCGUCGGAAGUGUAAUCUUGGGGCUUAACCCUGAGCGUGCUUUCGAUACGGGUUGACUUGAGGAAGGUAGGGGAGAAUGGAAUUCCUGGUGGAGCGGUGGAAUGCGCAGAUAUCAGGAGGAACACCAGUGGCGAAGGCGGUUCUCUGGGCCUUUCCUGACGCUGAGGAGCGAAAGCGUGGGGAGCGAACAGGCUUAGAUACCCUGGUAGUCCACGCUGUAAACGGUGGGUACUAGGUGUGGGGUCCAUUCCACGGGUUCCGUGCCGUAGCUAACGCUUUAAGUACCCCGCCUGGGGAGUACGGCCGCAAGGCUAAAACUCAAAGGAAUUGACGGGGCCCCGCACAAGCGGCGGAGCAUGCGGAUUAAUUCGAUGCAACGCGUAGAACCUUACCUGGGUUUGACAUGGAUCGGGAGUGCUCAGAGAUGGGUGUGCCUCUUUUGGGGUCGGUUCACAGGUGGUGCAUGCCUGUCGUCAGCUCGUGUCGUGAGAUGUUGGGUUAAGUCCCGCAACGAGCGCAACCCUUGUUCACUGUUGCCAGCACGUUAUGGUGGGGACUCAGUGGAGACCGCCGGGGUCAACUCGGAGGAAGGUGGGGAUGACGUCAAGUCAUCAUGCCCCUUAUGUCCAGGGCUUCACGCAUGCUACAAUGGCUGGUACAGAGAGUGGCGAGCCUGUGAGGGUGAGCGAAUCUCGGAAAGCCGGUCUCAGUUCGGAUUGGGGUCUGCAACUCGACCUCAUGAAGUCGGAGUCGCUAGUAAUCGCAGAUCAGCAACGCUGCGGUGAAUACGUUCCCGGG